CGGAGGAUCCAAGCGUUAUCCGGAUUUAUUGGGUUUUAAAAGGGUGCGUAGGCGGCCUGUUAAGUCAGGGUGAAGACGGUAGCUCAACUAUCGCAGUGCCCUUCGAUACUGAUGGGCUUGAAUGGACUAGAGGUAGGCGGAAUGAGACAAGUAGCGGUGAAAUGCAUAGAUAUGUCUCAGAACACCGAUUGCGAAGGCAGCUUACUAUGGUCCUAUUGACGCUGAGGCACGAAAGCGUGGGGGAUCAAACAGGAUU
rnacentral:rRNA from 1 species